rnacentral:lncRNA from 1 species
GAUUAAAAAUAUCGUGAGAUAAGGAAGGAAAAGAAAUAAGAUUAGAAAACACAUAUAGAGGUAUGCUGUAAAUGACAAACAUUGAAUAUUAACAGAGAACAGCAACCUUUCAGCCAGUGAGAAUACAACAGUGAAUAAGGCGUACAUUAAAGGGAAAAAUGGCCUAAGUAUGAAAGUAAUGCAAUACCUUUCACUAAUCCUCACUAAUCUUUUUCUUUGGGGAAUGUGGAAUAGAUGGGAAUUUAAGGUUUCUAUGUAGAUGUCAAAUUAGGACUUACUCAGUUUUUCCAUUUCUGAUUUUGAAUUUCUGAUUUUGUUUUAUAAGCUCUAUAAAAGGCUAUUUUUUCAAACUUUGUUUUUUUUUAAGUGUUUGCCCUUAUUUAGAAUUUACAUAAUUACCUCAGAACUCAUAAGAAAAAUACCAAGUGUUUUUAACUAGGUUUUUAUAGGUAAAUAUUUGCAAACCACUACUGCAAGUACAUAAAAAUGAAGAAAUAAAAUCAUGCACGUGGUUCUGGCUAUUAAUCUGUUUUUUUAGUAGCCUCUGACACAUGCUAAAUUUGUGUGGUGGCGAGCAGGAGUCCUACAGCCUGGAAACUGUUUGUUCUUUGCUCCAUCCCUCCUUACAUUGUGCCAAGAGAAAGUGUAGCUGGGAGAAGUAGGGGUUGGAAGGACACUCAAGAGGGCCUUGUCUUCUUUUCCUCUCACUGCGUGGCAGCCUCAGAGCUACCCUGGCAGGAGCAGAGCGGCAGUUGGUUCCACUGCAUGUCCAUUGACCCAUCCUCAUCAAAGCGUAGUUAGCAUGAGCUCGUCAUGUGCUCCUCAGAUUGCUGCAUGUGGCUACUGCUGAGCCCCUUGGCUUGAGCUCUUGGCUUCUCCUGUCCUGCUCAUUCCUUUCAGAGGUUCAGUUCAUAGGCUUUGUGUUUCAAGGCUCUGAGUUGUAAUAAUUCCAGCUACGUCCUCUUUGUUUCUUUCAGCUCUGUGCGAUCCCUGCUUCCAUAAUAAUCCAUCUCUUCUCUUUUUCCUUUUCAAUUCUGCAGUUCCUGGUUAGCAAUUUACAUUAAAUUCUUGGGGCUGAUGAGAUGGCUCAGUAGGUAACGGUGCCUGCCACCCAGUCUGAUGCCCUGAGUUCAGUCUCAGAGAUCCAAUGGUGGAAGGAGAGAAGUGACUUCUGCAAGUUGUCUUCUGACCUCCACACAUGUGCCUGUUCACAUACUCACACACACAUCCACAAGUACACAAAUGUAAUGAAAAUAUAGAAGAAAGACUGUUGAAUUAUAGAUGUGAUGCUUGUCUUUUUAUCAAAGCCUUAACUCAUAUACUUGUCAAAAUAAUAUGGCGCUACCAACUUGAGUGCCGGAAACAAUAUGAAGCUGCCUUCAUAUCGUAGUUACUGAGGCUCUCCAGUAUGGAGGCUUCUCUCUCUUCUGUUAUUCAGCCAGGUAGGCUCUCCUGUGGGCCCAGAGGUGUCUGAGCAUCUCAUUUUCACGCUUCUGUUGUUUGCUCUUCUGUACUUCUUACUGCAAGGGUGGUUUGUUUGGUUUUGUUUCUUCUCUACCUAAGAUCUAUAUACUCAAAGAGCACAAUGAAUUUUUUAACUAAUGGGUGUGCUUGUAGAUCCUUGUGAAGGGCAGAAGGUAUCUGUUAAUGGGAUGGAUCUAACUUUAACAGCUGACAUCUAAACUUCCUCAGAGGUUGAAUCCAAAUCCUGAUGUCAUAAGUUGUAUAAAAGCCCUCCAGACUCCACAUCCCUGAGGCUUGACUGGGUGGCUCCUGAGAUCAAAGCUGCUCCUCCUCCUUACUGGCCAGUCCUCACCAGUUCGAGUAAGGUGUUCCAGAGAAGAGACAAACCAGUCUGCUGGGACACGGUCUGCUGGGACACGGUCUGGUCUGCUGGGACACGGUCUGCUGGGACACGGUCCACUUUCUCAGGGUUUUGCCUGUUGUGCUUUACUUUCAAAUAAGUCUUCAAGCUUGCACUUUCCGUUCCUCAGCACUGGGCCCACACUAACACUGUAUUCUUUGCUGCAUUUAGUACUUUUUGAUUCGGAACACCCUCCUCCCCCAAGUGGUUUCCAGGUCUCAAAGUUAUAGUAAUUACAUCUUGGCACAUACACCUUUGCUGAUUUCUCCAUAACGAUCUGGAUUAUAGACUUUAGUGUCUUUUGUGUUGACUCUGCGUUAAGAUGGGUACCUCCAUCUAACUAUGAAUAAAACAAAUUUAUAAUUACUGUGUUAGCUUCCUGGUUUUGUUGCAGGAUAUUUUAUCUAUCUCAGGUUUAUGUUGGCUCACUGUUUUGGCGAUCUCAGUCUGUUACUGGCUGCCCUCUUCUUGGUGGCUUAUGGUGAGGCGCUCCAUCCUGGCCAUAGAGUGAAAACAGCAGAAGAAUGGUUGGUGCCAUCCUUUGAUAGCAUGUCCUUAGAGACUCUCUCUUAUCAGGCCCCACAUCCUCUCAGUUCUGCCCCGUCCCAGUAGCUCAGUGGCUCUUUAAUUGUUAGGCCUUUGGGGAACAUUUAACAACCAAACUAGAGAAAUUACUUUUCAGUUCCUGCUUUUAUUUCUCUUGUUGGUCUGUUCUUCUUCCAACUAGAUAACUUGAAUCACAUAUUUUAGGAUUUUAGGAUUCAGAGGAGAACUUCUUUGAACAUUUUGUAUGUCUGAUCAAUAUAAUAUAUCCUCACUGUCAUCCCCAGUGCUAGAUAACAGACCAACACCUUCCCUAUCCCAAGUGGCUCCUAACUACCUGUGUAACUCUACAAAUGGGGGCCUGAUGUUUGACUUCUGCCAGCAUGACAUGGCCCCUCAACAGACAUAUGGGAACACACAUAAUUAAAUAUAAUAACCAAAUCAAAUCUUAAAGC